rnacentral:rRNA from 1 species
GAUGAACGCUGGCGGCGUGCCUAAUACAUGCAAGUCGAGCGAACAGAUUAGGAGCUUUCUCCUCUGACGUUAGCGGCGGACGGGGUAGUAACACGUGGAUAACCUCCCUAUAAGACUGGGUUAACUUCGGGAAACCGGAGCUAAUACCGGAUAAUAUAUUGAACCGCAUGGUUCAAUAGUGAAAGACGGUUUUGCUGUCACUUAUAGAUGGAUCCGCGCUGCAUUAGCUAGUUGGUAAGGUAACGGCUUACCAAGGCAACGAUGCGUAGCCGACCUGAGAGGGUGAUCGGCCACACUGGAACUGAGACACGGUCCAGACUCCUACGGGAGGCAGCAGUAGGGAAUCUUCCGCAAUGGGCGAAAGCCUGACGGAGCAACACCGCGUGAGUGAUGAAGGUCUUCGGAUCGUAAAACUCUGUUAUUAGGGAAGAACAAAUGUGUAAGUAACUAUGCACGUCUUGACGGUACCUAAUCAGAAAGCCACGGCUAACUACGUG